UACGUAGGGGGCAAGCGUUGUCCGGAUUUAUUGGCGUAAAGCGCUCGCAGGCGGCCCGAUGCGUCGUGCGUGAAACACCCCGGCUCAACCUGGGAGGGUCGUGCGAUACGGUCGGGCUUGAGGCCAGUAGGGGAUGCGGAAUUCCGGGUGUAGUGGUGGAAUGCGUAGAGAUCCGGAGGACACCAGCGGCGAAGGCGGCA
rnacentral:rRNA from 1 species